UGGCAUUGAGCGACCGGCAGCCGCCCGCGUCUUUGUCUUCGUCGCCGGCGGCACCCGCCAGAGUCGUCGCGUCCGGCUUGCUGCUGCUGCAUGAAGAGGCUGCUGGAGGACCGGGACAUCUUCAUCUACCUGGGUGAGAAGGCCUUCUACAGCGACGAGUGCAGGAACGGGCUCAUCGAGGAGGCGGCGGAGGAGGAGGUCAUGAUUCUGGAUCCUGCUCGAAAUCUUUGAUCAAGAUUUGUUAGCUGUCGUGGCAAAAGUAGAGAGUGUAAUAUUUGCCCGUAAUAUUUUUCUUCUGCCUUCAACUUGGGGACUACUUUGCUGGGAGAGUGAGUGGGGGAAGGACAAAGGAAAUGCCUCUUGUUCAAGUUUUUUGCUGUAAGGAGAGGUCGUCCCGGUUUGGCCAACCAGUGCAACGGCCGAGCCAGCCAAUUUCCGUGGUUUGUCGAGCCAGCCAAUUUCCGUGGUUUGUCGAGCCAGCCAAUUUCCGUGGUUUGUUGAGGAUAACAUGGAGAACUUCAACCCUUUAAGUGAGAAUGGAGAGCAGGGUACGGGGUGGGCAUUCACACCCCCAACCACGGAAAACAUGUUGUGGGAGUUGAGCCCUUGGGGGAGUUUUGUCCUUUGGAGCUUGUGGUGACAUAAUUUUAGGUAUGCAUUGGUGCCAGCUUCACUCUACCUUGGUUUUAUUGCAUUGAUCAUUUGGGUUGGGUAGGUAAUGCUGUUGCUUGGAAUCUCUAGGGAAUGUUUUAUUAACUGUUUCUUUACACCUCAGGCACAUAUACUCAUUGCAGGGUACAUACCUAACAUCAGCUGCCCUGCCCUUAGUGACGCAAGAGAAAAUGAUUGCUUGAGGGUCCAACUUUAGGGAGCUUCAAUGUUCAAGGGGCGGCAGCACGCUGGACGUGUCAAAACAAGCUGAUUAAUCACAGAUCUCUGCACGCAGGCGGCGCUACCGGAGCUAAAGGGGCGGCAGCACACUGGGAGCGCGGCUGCGCCAGAUCGGCGACGCGAUGGGAUUGCGUCCAGAGGGUGGCGGCUGUGCAUAAAUGAUGUUCCUCACUCUCCCACCUGCAUCUAUCCAUGAGCGUCCAUAAUCGCAAUGGGAUUGCAUCGGGAAGGUGAAUGGGGACUAGCUACAGGUCGGCCGCGUGUUGCUGUGCGUACAUAUCACUGUCUAGGGGCCCUAGCUGCAUGUGGGAGGCGUGGCGAUCAUCACUUCAGAUGAGGGGGAGAUCUCUUCAAACAGGUGCAAAGGAUGUUUCUGCUGGGCAAGAAAAGAUGGUUUAAAUUUUUCUAUUGGGUAGAGAGAAAAAUAGUAUUGGUUGGAUUUAAGUACAAUACAUGUUCCAUGUUGCCAUAAUAUAAUAGCUAAAACAGUGUUCGUACUUUAGAAUCCUAGGUGUCUUAAACUGUCUUGUCAUUGCUAUUAGUAUUUUCCAAUGUCCCCACUAUGCACGAUCUGCUGCUGGAAGCAAAUUACUAACCGUAGGUGACUUUUAUGGUGGUCCAGAAACGGCACAAUACCAGGUCCUUUUUCAGUCGACAGGAGCGGGAACGUACUUCCUGGUGGGUGGAAAUGACACUUUGUGUCUGCAGGGAAACAAUCUGAUUUGACCCCAGAUUUUCAGUAGCUGGAUUCAAGAUUUGGCCUUUGGGAUAUCAAAAGUAGGAAGCGUGUUGUAUAUUCUCUGCUAGCAGCACCAGCAUCCAAGAUUUUACACUCCAGGUGUCCAAACCCAUCACGGUUCAGUGUUUACAAUUGAAAAGUGAUCCACCGGAGAACCAGCAGUGUCCAGGAACAAACCAGCAGCGCGUGCGAGCUGUUGUUAUUACCAUGAGGACACAUAGGUGCUGUCAUAAUUGUAAUGUGACGGGUAACAAAUAGCGUUAAAUUAUGUUUGUUUAAGUCUAACCGUAAUUAGAUAUCACACUAGAAACUGUAUUCAAAUUUAUUAUCGUUGUCACUUGAGCGUGAAUUA